rnacentral:lncRNA from 1 species
UGGGGGUUGGGACUAACGUUUGACGUCUUCAGCCAAAUAAUGUGUUCUGGCCCUACGUUCCUUAUUGGCUGGACCAAAGGACGAGCGAUUUCACAGAGAAAAGUGUUACAUGUCUCCAGAUGGGGCAGAAGGAAUUCAACAAGGCCCUUCAACAUGAAAGUCGAGCUUGACAUCUGUCAAAGGCACUCCUUUACAAAUAGAUACACCGUCCACAGCCUUGACACAAACUCAACUGUGGGAUAGAAAAGGCCACCACAGUCUGUAAAAAACAAUAAGGGGUUUUUUCUUCCGCACGGCCACCUACUUCAUCUGAUUGCCAACUUGAUAAAUCUUUCCAGUCAUUGCGAGAGUUAUAUCGUCUUGUGAUUGAGGGACGGAUUUGCCUUUCCCUUGGACGACCUUGCUUUGCAGUUACUUCACUCGGCACAUUUAAGGCGCAUCGAGGAAUUACCGUGCAUCUAAUAGCUUCUAACACCGUUCCCUGAUUCCAUUCUCAACCCUUAAUAACAGUUCCCUACCUUUUUUAUUUCCGUUUAAGUCGUGAACACACGCUGAAACAAGAUUUCUGUACAUUCGACAGGUUCGAAAAUAGAACGAAUGAUAUUUAUUUGAUUGUUAUGCAUGUAAAAAAUAUAUCCGUUUCAUAACUAA